UGGAUCAAUAGAACGAGCAGGUGA
rnacentral:miRNA from 1 species